CCUACGGGGGGCUGCAGUGAGGAAUAUUGGUCAAUGGCCGUAAGGCUGAACCAGCCAAGUAGCGUGAGGGAAGACUGCCCUAUGGGUUGUAAACCUCUUUUAUGCGGGGAUAAAGGUGUCCACGUGUGGAUGUUUGCAGGUACCGCAUGAAUAAGGACCGGCUAACUCCGUGCCAGCAGCCGCGGUAAUACGGAGGAUCCGGGCGUUAUCCGGAUUUAUUGGGUUUAAAGGGUGCGCAGGCGGAGGUGCAAGUCAGUGGUCAAAUUGCGGGGCUCAACCCCGUACUGCCGCUGAAACUGCAUCCCUUGAGUGCGCGGGAAGCAGGCGGAAUGCGUGGUGUAGCGGUGAAAUGCAUAGAUAGCACGAAGAACCCCGAUUGCGAAGGCAGCAUACCGGCGCGGAACUGACGCUCAUGCACGAAAGCGCGGGUAUCGAACAGGAUUAGAUACCCUGGUAGUC
rnacentral:rRNA from 1 species